GGAAAGGCGAAAGCGUUGUUGGUUUCUCCUACAGUAGUCCCGCAAGACGGAACAGGUUUGAGACACCUCCAGGUUCCGGGUCAGCCUUCAGAGUCGUGAAGCUUGCUGUGGCACAUAAGUCACGCCAAGCAUUCAGUAGCAGGCUCUUCGUCGGGCAGUAUCCUCGGUCAUAGUGUGGCAAACAGAAAGUGACACGAUCAUGGACAGGUGCCCAUAAUAUCAAUUUCCUGCAACAACGGAAGUGUGAAACACGAAGUACUCAUCAUGACUGGUCACAUCAUGCGGUUUGGUGGGGCACAUAAUUUCCUUCUUCGCGUCGUAUUGGUUCUCCUUUUAACCGAAACAUUGGGCUUCUUUCGAUGCAACUUGGACACUACGGACAAAAUGUUCUUCCCAGAUCAAGUGAACUAUUUGCGUGUGUGGACAUCCAGAUGCUCGUGUGCAGACCGCAUAUACUGGCCACCUGAUGACAUGUGUUACGAGGAAGGGAAGCAAGGGCCUUGCGCUGUUGGACGCGUUCUAGUAUUUGACAGAAGAAAAAUAGAGCCAAGAUGUGAAAAUGUUUAUCAACAUUGAGAUAAUUUGUCAUAUCGGAUCAAUAUAUGACAAAGAGUGUUUCGUACCAAAAAUUCAUAUAACUGAUAUUUGAAAUGUGUUUCUAUGAAAAAGAGAAAGCGCUUUAAGAACUUUCAGAAUCAAACUGCGUCUCAUGCGCAGCAGUUCCUGAGCAACAUUUUUAAUCUGGUAAAUCGUAAAAAGAAAAAAAAAAAGUUAUGGACUUCGUCGUAUUAAAAACUGCUCUGCACGUAUGAAAGUAUGAGCAAUAAGAAAAGCACAACAGACCACUGUAGGUCGCUGUGCAAGGGCCGAGAAGGCCCACCUCUCAUACAUACAUACAAUCAUUCAUUCAUUCAUUCAUAAUAAGAACGUGAAAUGAAAGUAGCGCAUUUUCUCCAUGUUUCCAAACACUAUGCAGAGCCUCAGUCUAAUCGGGAGGAGUAGAGAAAUUACUUCACUUUUACUCUCGGAAUUCUGAUCUCAAGUGCCUUACAAACAGAUUACGGAUUAUGGAUAUACAGAUUAUAAAGAUGUACGUGAUAAAACGCGGAAACCAUGCUUUUCCAAUUAGAAUAGGUUUUUACUGUCAAUUACACACGCAUUUGGAAAUUCCAAAGAACGAUAAAACAACAAACGUUAGCUGUGUGUUCCAAAAUGAAUUCUCACCAUUUCUCUAGUGGAACCCACAUUUGUAAAUUCCAACAACAGUUGUAGAGUCUUGUCAAAUUGUACUUUUCCACAUGGUAUUGUUGAUUCAACCAACAUGUACUUCAUUUAAAUUAAACAAAGUUAUAAUUGGUCGUAAACCA